rnacentral:ncRNA from 1 species
AUACAACAACGAGACGUGAUGACGAGGCUCUACGGAGCUGAAGUUACCGAUACCCAGCUUCCAGGAAAAGCCACUAAGCGAAAGGCUUUACUAAACCGUACUGAAAACCGACACAGGUGGUCAGGUAGAGAAUACUCAGGCGCUUGAGAGAACUCGGGGUAGAAGGAACUAGGCAAAAUAGCACCGUAACUUCGGGAGAAGGUGCGCUUAC